rnacentral:rRNA from 1 species
UACAGAGGGUGCAAGCGUUGUUCGGAAUUAUUGGGCGUAAAGCGCGUGUAGGCGGCUUUGCAAGUCGGGUGUGAAAGCCCUCGGCUCAACCGAGGAAGUGCGCCCGAAACUGCAGAGCUUGAGUACCGGAGAGGAUGGCGGAAUCCCCCAAGUAGAGGUGAAAUUCGUAGAUAUGGGGAGGAACACCGGUGGCGAAGGCGGCCAUCUGGACGGAUACUGACGCUGAGACGCGAAAGCGUGGGGAGCAAACAGG